rnacentral:rRNA from 1 species
UACGUAGGGACCAAGCGUUGUUCGGAUUUACUGGGCGUAAAGGGCGCGUAGGCGGCUUGUCAAGUCAUUUGUGAAAUCUCUGGGCUUAACCCAGAACGGCCAAGUGAAACUGACAUGCUAGAGUGCAGAAGGGGCAAUCGGAAUUCUUGGUGUAGCGGUGAAAUGCGUAGAUAUCAAGAGGAACACCUGAGGUGAAGACGGGUUGCUGGGCUGACACUGACGCUGAGGCGCGAAAGCCAGGGGAGCAAACGGG